rnacentral:rRNA from 1 species
GCUACACAUGCAAGUCGAGGGGUAGAGGGUGCUUGCACCCUUGAGACCGGCGCACGGGUGCGUAACGCGUAUGCAACCUACCUAUUGCAGGGGAAUAGCCCAGGGAAACUUGGAUUAAUGCCCCAUAGUCCAUAUUGAGAGCAUUUGAGAUAUGGUAAAGAUUUAUCGGCAAUAGAUGGGCAUGCGUCCCAUUAGCUAGUUGGUAUGGUAACGGCAUACCAAGGCUACGAUGGGUAGGGGCCCUGAGAGGGGGAUCCCCCACACUGGUACUGAGACACGGACCAGACUCCUACGGGAGGCAGCAGUGAGGAAUAUUGGACAAUGGGCGGGAGCCUGAUCCAGCCAUGCCGCGUGCAGGAAGACUGCCCUAUGGGUUGUAAACUGCUUUUUUACGGGAAGAAACACCCCCACGUGUGGGGGCUUGACGGUACCGUACGAAUAAGGACCGGCUAACUCCGUGCCAGCAGCCGCGGUAAUACGGAGGGUCCGAGCGUUAUCCGGAAUCAUUGGGUUUAAAGGGUCCGUAGGCGGGCGUCUAAGUCAGUGGUGAAAUCUCGCGGCUCAACCGUGAAAUUGCCAUUGAUACUGGUCGCCUUGAAUUAGUGUGAAGUGGCUAGAAUAUGUAGUGUAGCGGUGAAAUGCUUAGAUAUUACAUAGAAUACCGAUUGCGAAGGCAGGUCACUAACACUAUAUUGACGCUGAUGGACGAAAGCGUGGGGAGCGAACAGGAUUAGAUACCCUGGUAGUCCACGCCGUAAACGAUGGAUACUAGCUGUCCGGCCUGCAUUGGUAGGCUGGGUGGCCAAGCGAAAGUGAUAAGUAUCCCACCUGGGGAGUACGUUCGCAAGAAUGAAACUCAAAGGAAUUGACGGGGGCCCGCACAAGCGGUGGAGCAUGUGGUUUAAUUCGAUGAUACGCGAGGAACCUUACCAGGGCUUAAAUGUAGUCUGACAGGGGUGGAAACACCCCCUUCUUCGGACAGACUGCAAGGUGCUGCAUGGUUGUCGUCAGCUCGUGCCGUGAGGUGUCAGGUUAAGUCCUAUAACGAGCGCAACCCCUGUCGUUAGUUGCCAGCAUGUAAAGAUGGGAACUCUAACGAGACUGCCGGUGCAAACCGUGAGGAAGGUGGGGAUGACGUCAAAUCAUCACGGCCCUUACGUCCUGGGCCACACACGUGCUACAAUGGCAGGUACAAUGGGCAGCCACGCCGCAAGGCGGAGCGAAUCCACAAAACCUGUCUCAGUUCGGAUCGGGGUCUGCAACUCGACCCCGUGAAGCUGGAAUCGCUAGUAAUCGGAUAUCAGCCAUGAUCCGGUGAAUACGUUCCCGGGCCUUGUACACACCGCCCGUCAAGCCAUGGAAGCUGGAAGCACCUGAAGUCCGUCACCGCGAGGAGCGGCCUAGG